GGGUCUAUAGUUCAAUGGCAGAACGACGGUCUCCAAAACCGUUAAUGGGGGUUCGAGUCCCUCUGGACCCG
rnacentral:tRNA from 1 species